GUAUUUGUUCGUCGUAAACGAUAAGACAUGCAUAUAAGACUGGAUUGUAAUGGAGAGAGGAGCGAGACCCCGGCCUCACACGAAUGUAAGACUGCUCCUAAUGGGGAGCCUCGACCUAUAGUGCACAAGUGUAUGUGGGAUGAAAUGCGAGCGGCGUGCACUUGCCCCUUUGAAAGGGCCAGCAACAACCAUCUCUAAUGCUUUCGAUAAUGAUCCUUCCGCAGGUUCACCUACGGAAA
rnacentral:misc_RNA from 1 species